UUAGAAAAAAAACCCCAGGCCUCAAAGCCAUGGCUGAUUCCCAGCUCUGCCUGUGUUGUGGCAGGUCGAGGGGGAGCUCCUGUCUCUGGCUCACCAAGGGAGGCAGAUUCCUGAGAUGUUGUCCCCACAACUCUGCCAGUGACAGCAGGGCAGGCAUGUCUCACCCAAAGUCCACCUGGCUCCAGUUCUUUUGCCCUUGUUGGGCUGCUGUGUGCAGGUGGGAGAAGAUCUUGAUGGGAACUUUGCCAGUGGCAGCGUUCCCAAAGCAGUCAGUAAAGGAUCACAAGCCACGCUUGGUGUGCAGGGCUUUGGGCAGGGACCUGCCUGCUGGGAGGGGCAGUGCAGGUGGGAGAAGAUCUUGAUGGGAACUUUGCCAGUGGCAGCGUUCCCAAAGCAGUCAGUAAAGGAUCACAAGCCACGCUUGGUGUGCAGGGCUUUGGGCAGGGACCUGCCUGCUGGGAGGGGCAGUGCAGGCAGGACAUGAGAGGAUGUGAACCCUGGAUAUGCAGGAGAAAGAGAUGGUGGGUUUGGUGUGCAUGAUGAGCCGUGAUCAGCACGUGCAUGAGUUUGUGAGCAUGGCUGUGCAAGCCAGCUGUGUAGAAAGGUUUGGGGCUGGGCUUCUCUGCCAGGGGGUUUUGUUUUAUCAAGCCAGCACA
rnacentral:lncRNA from 12 species